UACGAAGGGGGCUAGCGUUGUUCGGAAUUACUGGGCGUAAAGCGCGUGUAGGCGGGCUUUUAAGUCAGGGGUGAAAUGCCAAGGCUCAACCUUGGAACUGCCUUUGAUACUGAAAGUCUUGAGUCCGGAAGAGGUGAGUGGAAUUGCGAGUGUAGAGGUGAAAUUCGUAGAUAUUCGCAAGAACACCAGUGGCGAAGGCGGCUCACUGGUCCGGAACUGACGCUGAGACGCGAAAGCGUGGGGAG
rnacentral:rRNA from 1 species